AUUGAACGCUGGCGGCAGGCCUAACACAUGCAAGUCGAACGAGCGGCGGACGGGUGAGUAAUGUAUGGGGAUCUGCCUGAUGGAGGGGGAUCACUACUGGAAACUGUAGCUAAUACCGCGUACCAUCCGAUGAACCCAACUGGGAUUAGGGUGUUGGUGAGGUAAAGGCUCACCAACCGACGAUCCCUAGCUGGUCUGAGAGGAUGACCAGCCACACGGUGACUGAGACACGGCCCAGACUCCUACGGGAGGCAGCAGUGGGGAAUAGUGCGCAAUGGGGGCAAGCCUGACGCAGCCAUGCCGAGGGUAUGAAGAAGGCCUUCGGGUUGUAAAGUUCUUUCGGUAGGGAGGCGUUAACUACAGAAGAAGCACCGGCUAACUCCGUGCCAGCAGCCGCGGUAAUAC
rnacentral:rRNA from 1 species